rnacentral:rRNA from 1 species
UGGACCUACGGGGCGCAGCAGUGAGGAAUAUUGGUCAAUGGGCGGGAGCCUGAACCAGCCAAGUCGCGUGAGGGAAGACGGUCCUAUGGAUUGUAAACCUCUUUUGUCGGGGAGCAAAGAGAUCACGUGUGGUCAAAAGCGAGAGUACCCGAAGAAAAAGCAUCGGCUAACUCCGUGCCAGCAGCCGCGGUAAUACGGAGGAUGCGAGCGUUAUCCGGAUUUAUUGGGUUUAAAGGGUGCGUAGGCGGGACGGUAAGUCAGCGGUAAAAAUGCGGAGCUCAACCCCGCCCAGCCGUCGGAACUGC